rnacentral:rRNA from 1 species
GAUGAACGCUAGCGGCAGGCCUAAUACAUGCAAGUCGAACGGGAUUGAGGAGCUUGCUCCUCAUGAGAGUGGCGCACGGGUGCGUAACACGUAUGUAACCUACCUUAAUCAGGGGAAUAGCCUCUCGAAAGAGAGAUUAACACCGCAUAAAAUCACACUAUAGCAUCAUAGAAUGAUCAAAUAUUUAUAGGAUUAAGAUGGGCAUGCGGAACAUUAGCUAGUUGGUAAGGUAACGGCUUACCAAGGCUACGAUGUUUAGGGGAUCUGAGAGGAUGGCCCCCCACACUGGUACUGAGACACGGACCAGACUCCUACGGGAGGCAGCAGUAAGGAAUAUUGGUCAAUGGGCGGAAGCCUGAACCAGCCAUGCCGCGUGCAGGAAGACGGCCCUACGGGCUGUAAACUGCUUUUGUACCGGAAUAAACCUUUCUACGUGUAGGAAGCUGAAUGUACGGUAAGAAUAAGGAUCGGCUAACUCCGUGCCAGCCGCCGCGGUAA